GCAGGCACUGGCUGAGAGCAGGAGUGUGUGAUGAGAUUGUACUGUUGAUCUCUGUAAGUAGAGCAGAGUGAGGAGGACAUCGAGAAUGCACAUAUAACAUCACUUCCUGGAGCAUUUGCGGAAAAUACGACCCGGGUAAAAAUGUUACACAGGCAACACAAAUAGACACUGAACAUCUACUUUUUCACAUCAGUUAACUGUUCGCUUAUAAAUGGGCGAUAAAAAAUGAUUUAUACAUGUAAAAAGUUACAUAUAGAACCUUUAAGGAAAAUUCCCACCGAUUUUUUUUCUGUUGUGGCUGCUGGUUAGCUGAAAAUACAUGCGGACACAAUAAACAGGAAACAUUUUGUGUCAUUGCUUAUUUAUCAUGCCCUAAUAGGGAGCAAAAGUUGUUUAACAAAACUCAAUAUAUCACAAAAAAUACUUCUACACUCAAUUGCUGUGUUAAAUAUCCUAUUGGCAUUUAUUCAAAGCAUAUAUUAUUGUAAUUUAAAUGUCCCUAUAGUCUGUCUACAAACCCCCCAAUUAUAAGAAAGGUCCAUCAUUUAUUUUAAAUUAUUUGAAAGUAAUAAAACCAGAAAACCUUUAUGAUGAUUUAAAGCCUUUAGUGUGAGAAUAAUGAAAACAAGUACUUGUGAGAACAUAUGAUAACCGAUGAUGACUGUGUUGAUGUGUUAUAAUAUGACUGUGUGAGGCAUUUGCUAAAAACAACUGUCAUGACACCUAGCCCACGAAUUUCCUGUUAAGCAGAUGCCUUUGCACAAACUUCUGCCUUUCUUUGAAUUAAGAUACAGACUCGGUCUCAACUUGGUUUACCACUAAUCUGCUCUACAACAGUUGUUCCAUAUCCAUCCUUCCCCUUUGAAUGCAAUGUAUAAAAGCGUGUUCCCUCUUUGCCCCCUUUGAGCUUCUCUGCAGACUGCAUGACACUCUGUACUGCUGCUCCUUCUUGCAAGAAUAAAAGAACAACGAAAGCCAUUUGAAGACUUCUUUCAUUUAUUACAACUUCUUUAUUAACAAUUUUGCCGUGACAACCAAACCCAAGAGGCUGCGACAAAGAUGACCACCACUUCCAAAUUCGGACCUCUGCCCGUGAUUCUCCUGGGCGUCGGCCUGCUGUGUGUUCUUCAAGCAAGCCUCAACAUCGCUCUGAGACUUCCUCUCAGUAAGCCUUCUUUUAAAGAAGCCGGACACUUCCGUUUGAUUCUCCUGGUCGUCGGCCUGCUGUGUAUUCUUCAAGCAAGCCUCAACAUCGCUCUGAGACUCGCUCUCAGUAAGCCUUCUUUUAAAGAAUUCAAACACUUGCGUGUGGUUCUGAGCGUCGUUCUGCUGUUUAUUCUUCAAGCAAGCCUCAACAUCGCUCUGAGACUCUGAUCUCAGUAAGCCUUCUGUUAAAGGUUGCAGUGGGUGAGUGAUGGAGCGUCCGGAGGAGAAGACUGUGGCGACCUUCACACAAGGAUCACUUUCAUCGGCUUGAACGACUUCAACUGCAGCGUCACAUCCCAGUGGAUUUGUGAGAAAAGGUUACAGUAGUUUGCACUGAGUCAUGGUGUGUAACACACAGUCAGUACUAAGAUGUAACUGUAUCAUUGCAGGUCAUAACAUCUGACGUCUCUUUGAACUCUUCUCGUUCUUCUGUCUCCUGUUUCUUUAUAAUAAAAUCUUUAGGCUCAAAUAUUCAACAUGCAACACAGACCUCUGUUUUCAAUGUAGGAAUCGUUAAGAUAUGGGGUUUCUUUCUUUUAUCAUUUCUGUUUCUCUUUAAUGUCUUUCUUUCUUUUCUGUUACUUUUGCCCUUGAUGUAUCAGGUGAGACAUUGUUUGGAUGUCAUUAAUAUUUAAUUCAUCGUCUAACAAGAUCAAAGUGAUUCAGACUUGAAUUAACCCAUUAAUGAUCGGCUACUAAAUUUAAUACAUUAAGUCCCACCGAUUUUUUUUCUGUUGUGGCUGCUGGUUAGCUGAAAAUACAUGUGGCUACAAUAAAUGGGAAACAUUUUUUGUGAUAGCAUAUUUGUCAUGCCCUAAUUGGUAGAAAAAGUUGUUAAUCAAUAAAAAAAAUCAAUAAAUCACAAAAAAUACUUCUACACUCAAUUGCUGUGUUAAAUAUCCUAUUGGCACUUAUUCAAAACAUAUAUUAUUGUAAUUUAAAGGUCACAUAUUAUGCAAAGUAUACAUUAUCAUGUUUUUCUAACACAAAUCCCUAUAGUCUGUCUACAAACCACCCAAUUAUAAGAAAGGUCCAUCAUUUAUUUUAAAUUAUUUUAAAGUAAUAAGACCAGAAAACCUUUAUGAUGAUUUAAAGCCUUUAGUGUGAGAAUAAUGAAAACAAGUACUUGUGAGAACAUAUGAUAACCGAUGAUGACUGUGUUGAUGUGUUAUAAUAUGACUGUGUGAGGCAUUUGCUAAAAACAACUGUCAUGACACCUAGCCCAUGAAUUUCCUGUUAAGCAGAUGCCUAUGCACAAACUUCUGCCUUUUUUUUUAAUUAAGAUACAGACUCGGUCUCAACUUGGUUUACCACAAAUCUGCUCUACAACAAUUGUUCCAUAUCCAUCCUUCGCCUUUGAAUACAAUGUAUAAAAGCGUGUUCCCUCUUAGCCCCCUUUGAGCUUCUCUGCAGACUGCAUGACACUCUGUACUGCUGCUCCUUCUUGCAAGAAUAAAAGAACAACGAAAGCCA